ensembl:lncRNA
AUGUUACCAAACGUUCCUCCCUGCUGUGACUGCUCCACUGGGCAAACAAGCUUUUCCAAGGGAAAGCCAGUUAUUUUAAUUGGAAUGAAUGGAAGAUGCAACCUCUUCCUUCCAUCAGUAAACUGCUCCUGUGGAAAAACCUCGCCAGUGACCAUAAGUGAUCUGGUUGAAAGUGGUUACUGGCCAGCCACUGUCAAUUUUGAGACCUUGUACUUGGUGGACUUGUUCACCACGUAUGAGGAUCUAAAAAUCACUGCCCCAGGGAUGUCAGUAUGCUUGAGUGUUGUACAAAACUUUUGUCAGCAUGCUCGAGUGUCGUACAAAACUCUUCGGGUGAGUGAGUGGACUCAUCAUUUAAGUUAUCCUGUCUGGAUCACCUUUUAAAUAACGGAUUCAUUGUUAGGACUUGUUCUUACAAUCCCCAAAGUGUCAGCACACAUUUCUUGACAGAGCCCUUUCUUCGUCAUGACCACGGUCUAAAGCCAACCUUCGAAACAGUUACUUACUGUUUUGUAUUGUUUUUUCACUUUUGGUCUAAGAGUGGUAAGAUAUGUGGGGACACAAUGCAGAGGGCCUUCCUCGAAUGGGCCUAUGCCAAAUUUGAGGUUGACAAGCUGUCUCAGGUCCAGCAUUUUCAGUGCCCUGCAUGCAUACCCUCCAUGUUGGCAGUUGCAGUGGAUGGGUACCACAAAUUACAUCGUUUCAAAAGCCAACCAGGGUGUGUAAAAUUCAUGUACAAUGAAAUGCUAGUGAUUUACUUUUAUACAGUAAAUUUAACCCACAUCUAUAUAUUUCUUUCAAGACCUGAUGGGUUUUUUUGGCCAAUGAUGCUGAGGUGUCCUCCUUUGUUGAUUACAUCCAUGGAGCAACUGGACAUGUAAGCUAAAUUUAUAUUUCUUCAUGUGUAACACCACAAUUUAAAAUUUUUAUGAAUGCUUGCCAGUUUUUUCCCCAAAAUGUAAACAUUAUUUGGUUUGCAUCAAAUUCCAUAAAUCCAUGAUUUACAGCUAAUUUUGUAAAAUGUAACUGUGUAAAUGUCUGUAUUUGCCCUCAUCUGUUUAAGCAUCCAGGGAAAGGGAGAUGUGGUGUGGGUCAGUGGACCGCAGCACGAGAGUCCGCCAACAAGUCUGCAAGCAAACUAGACGAGGAAGGUGUUGAAGUUGCUGUCAGCCGUCAUGGGGUUUUGCUGAAAGGACUGAAUAUGUUCCGUGGAGAAAUAUUUGCAUACCCAUUAUAUCUCCAGAAACAGCUAGCUUCACAGACCGUCCAGUUUUUUAGCUCUGAUGUGGUCUGCAAAUAUUGGCCAUAUCUGCAGAAAGUUGUGGACCACUGUCCAGAGUUGGAGGACUUGCUGAACAUGCGCCCAUUUCUCUCCAUCAUGCAU